UACGGAGGGUGCAAGCGUUAAUCGGAAUUACUGGGCGUAAAGCGUGCGUAGGCGGUUCGUUAAGUCUGUUGUGAAAGCCCCGGGCUCAACCUGGGAAUGGCAAUGGAUACUGGCGAGCUAGAGUGUGUCAGAGGAUGGUGGAAUUCCCGGUGUAGCGGUGAAAUGCGUAGAGAUCGGGAGGAACAUCAGUGGCGAAGGCGGCCAU
rnacentral:rRNA from 1 species